GUUAAAAUUCUAGCCAAGCCAAGCAAACAAACUACAAUACACCAAAAAUAACUAAACUAAACCAUUCAAUUUAAUAGUAUAGGCGAUAGAAAUUUACUAUGAGCAAUAAAAAAGUACCGUAAGGGAAAGAUGAAAUAAAAAUGAAAUAAAUAAUAAAAACAAGAAAAAGAAAAGACUAAACCCUAUACCUUUUGCAUAAUGGUCUAGUAAGUCCAACCUAACAAAGAGAAAUAAAGUUAGCCACCCCGAAACUAGACGAGCUACUUAAGAGCAGCAUUAACCAGGGCCAACCCGUCUCUGUGGCAAAAGAGUGGGACGACUUUUAAGUAGCGGUGAAAAGCCUAACGAGCCUAGUGAUAGCUGGUUAUUUGAGAAAUGAAUAUUAGUUCAGCUUAAAGUACUUUUAAUUAGUUAAAAAAAUAAAAAUAGCACUUUAAAGUUAAUUAAUAGAGGUACAGCUCUAUUAAUAAAGGAUACAACCUAUAUAAUGAAUAAAGAUUAUAUUAAUAAAAGAAGUAAACCAUGUAGGCCUAAAAGCAGCCACCACAAGAAAGCGUCAAAGCUCAACUUAACAAACCCCUUAUUAUACCAAUAAAAAAAUCUAAACUCACAAAAAUAUCAAAUCCAUCUACUAAGUAGAUGAGCUUAUACUAGAAUGAGUAACAAGAACAAAUUCUCUUAUGCAAGCGUAAAUCAGAACGAAAAAGUCACUGAUAAUUAACAAUAUAAAAUACCCAACAACAAGAAAAAUAUAUUAAAACAAUUGUUAACCCAACACAGGAGCAUUAAAAAAGAUUUAAAGAUUAAAAAGGAACUCGGCAACCAAGAGCUCCGCCUGUUUACCAAAAACAUCGCCUCUUGCCCCCACAAGUAUAAGAGGUCCCGCCUGCCCAGUGAUUAAUUUUAACGGCCGCGGUAUUAUGACCGUGCAAAGGUAGCGCAAUCACUUGUCUUUUAAAUAAAGACCUGUAUGAAAGGCAAAACGAAAGCUCAACUGUCUCUUUAAUCCAAUCAGUGAAAUUAAUUUCUCCGUGCAGAAGCGGAGAUAGCCAUAUAAGACGAGAAGACCCUAUGGAGCUUUAAAUAUGAAAUUAAUUAUAUAUUAACACUAGCCAACAGGUAAAAAAUAAAAACGUAUAAUUAUAAUUUAAAUUUUCGGUUGGGGCGACCACGGAAGAAAAAAUAUCCUCCGAGAUAGAUAAUUUAGAACUACACUUCAAAAAUUAAAACAUUUAUUAUAAAUGAUCCACUAAGUGACCAACGAACCAAGUUACCCUAGGGAUAACAGCGCAAUCCUUUCUAAGAGUCCUUAUCGACGAAUGGGUUUACGACCUCGAUGUUGGAUCAGGACACCCAAAUGGUGCAGCCGCUAUUAAAGGUUCGUUUGUUCAACGAUUAAAGUCCUACGUGAUCUGAGUUCAGACCGGAGUAAUCCAGGUCAGUUUCUAUCUAUAAUGAAAUUUUUUCUAGUACGAAAGGACCGAAAAAAUGGGACCUCUUGCAAGCAAAGCCCCCUACCACCCCUGAAAGCAAAUAAAGGGCCACACAAAAUACACCUUUAAAACAAAGGACAA
rnacentral:rRNA from 1 species